rnacentral:rRNA from 1 species
UUAGCCCUAAACACAAAUAAUUAUAAAAACAAAAUUAUUCGCCAGAGUACUACCGGCAACAGCCUAAAACUCAAAGGACUUGGCGGUGCUUUACACCCUUCUAGAGGAGCCUGUUCUAUAAUCGAUAAACCCCGAUAGACCUCACCAAUUCUUGCUAAUACAGUCUAUAUACCGCCAUCUUCAGCAAACCCUAAAAAGGAACAAAAGUAAGCAUAAUCACAACACAUAAAAACGUUAGGUCAAGGUGUAACCUAUGAAAUGGGAAGAAAUGGGCUACAUUUUCUACCACAAGAAAAUCACACGAAAGUCAUUAUGAAACUAAUAACCAAAGGAGGAUUUAGUAGUAAACUAAGAAUAGAGUGCUUAGUUGAAUUAGGCCAUGAAGCACGC